AAUGAACGUUGGCGGCGUGGAUUAGGCAUGCAAGUCGAGCGAGAAGUUUUCAAAAGAUCCUUCGGGUGAUUUUGGAAAUGGACAGCGGCGAAAGGGAGAGUAACGCGUAGAUCACGUACCCCGAGGUUUGGGAUAGCGGCUGGAAACGGCCGGUAAUACCGAAUAAUGUCUCCGGACCAAAGAUUUAUCGCCUGGGGAGCGGUUUGCGUACUAUUACGCUUGUUGGUGGGGUAAAAGCCUACCAAGGCUAAGAUGGUUAGCGGGUGUGAGAGCAUGGCCCGUCUCACUGGGACUGAGACACUGCCCAGACACCUACGGGUGGCUGCAGUCGAGAAUCUUCCGCAAUGGGCGAAAGCCUGACGGAGCGACGCCGCGUGCGGGAUGAAGGCCUUCGGGUUGUAAACCGCUGUCAGUAGGGAGGAAAUUUUGACCGAUCUACAGAGGAAGCACAGGCUAAGUUCGUGCCAGCCGCCGCCGUAACAC
rnacentral:rRNA from 1 species